rnacentral:rRNA from 1 species
GACGAACGCUGGCGGCGUGCUUAACACAUGCAAGUCGAACGGAAAGGCCCUGCUUUUGUGGGGUGCUCGAGUGGCGAACGGGUGAGUAACACGUGAGUAACCUGCCCUUGACUUUGGGAUAACUUCAGGAAACUGGGGCUAAUACCGGAUAGGAGCUCCUGCUGCAUGGUGGGGGUUGGAAAGUUUCGGCGGUUGGGGAUGGACUCGGGGCUUAUCAGCUUGUUGGUGGGGUAGUGGCUUACCAAGGCUUUGACGGGUGGCCGGCCUGAGAGGGUGACCGGCCACAUUGGGACUGAGAUACGGCCCAGACUCCUACGGGAGGCAGCAGUGGGGAAUAUUGCCCAAUGGGCGGAAGCCUGAUGCAGAAACGCCGCGUGCGGGAUGACGGCCUUCGGGUUGUAAACCGCUUUCGCCUGUGACGAAGCGUGAGUGACGGUAAUGGGUAAAGAAGCACCGGCUAACUACGUG